CCUACGGGAGGCAGCAGUGAGGAAUAUUGGUCAAUGGACGAGAGUCUGAACCAGCCAAGUAGCGUGAAGGAUGACUGCCCUAUGGGUUGUAAACUUCUUUUAUAUGGGAAUAAAAUGUUCCACGUGUGGGAUUUUGUAUGUACCAUAUGACUAAGGAUCGGCUAACUCCGUGCCAGCAGCCGCGGUAAUACGGAGGAUCCGAGCGUUAUCCGGAUUUAUUGGGUUUAAAGGGAUCGUAGGUGGAUUGUUAAGUCAGUUGUGAAAGUUUGCGGCUCAACCGUAAAAUUGCAGUUGAAACUGGCAGUCUUGAGUACAGUAGAGGUGGGCGGAAUUCGUGGUGUAGCGGUGAAAUGCUUAGAUAUCACGAAGAACUCCGAUUGCGAAGGCAGUUCACUGGACUGCAACUGACACUGAGGCUCGAAAGUGUGGGUAUCAAACAGGAUUAGAUACCCCAGUAGUC
rnacentral:rRNA from 1 species